rnacentral:tRNA from 1 species
GUUUCAGUAGCUUAUACAAAGCAUUGGCCUUGUAAACCAAAGAAUGUGAACUAACCCCCACCUGAAACU